rnacentral:lncRNA from 1 species
AUGAUGCCAAAGGAGGAGCCAAAGCCUAAACUCCAGGAGGGUGGGUGAGUGCUGCGCUCUCUUGGACCCCUUUUUUAUGAAGAAAAGUGUGUAGAGGUUGCCAUAAAGGACAAACAAGUGAAAUACUUUGUACAUUACAAUUGGUGGAAUAAAAAUAGGGUUGAAUCAUUCCAGAGAACAGAGUACUCAAAUACGUGGACACCAAUAUGCAGAAACAGAACGUCAAAAAGUCAUUCAGGAACAAUAUGCAGAGGGAAAGAUGAGAGGGGCUGCCCCAGGAAAGAAGACAUCUUGUGUGUAACAGAAACAUGUUGAAGUGAAAACAACAAAAGAAGAAAGAGAAAAAACCUGGAAAUGGAGAUGGUGGCAGUAACAGUGAGAUUCUGCAGCAUUUUUGGAAGAAAAGGGCCUGGGUAGAUAAAAUACUGAAAAUGAGGAAACAUUUAUGAACAGAGUUGAAGAUAAAGUAAAGAUUCCUGAAGAGCUAAAACUAUGGCUAGUUGGUGACUGGGACUUAAUUACCAGCAAAAACAGCUCUUUUAUCUUUCUUCCAAGAAGAAUGUGGGUUUCAUUAUAAAGGAUCAUGCAAAUUACAAGAAAUCUCAUGGAAACACAGAUAAUGACUAUGCCGUUAAUGAAGUUAUGCCAGGGAUAAAAGAAUACUUCAACUUAAUGUUGGGCACCCACCUACCCUACAAAUUUGAGAGCAUAGUAUGCUGAAAUUCUUGCAGAUCACCCUGAUGCAGCCAUGUUCCAAGUGUAUAAAGUGCCAUAUCUACUGAGAUUAUUUGUAUAAAUUGGAGCAAUGUUGGCCUAGACACCGCUGGAUGAGAAAAGCCUUGCUUUAUUACUGAAUUAUCUUCCUUAUUUCCUAAAGUACCUGGCAAAGAAUUCUGCAACUUUGUUUAGUACCAGCAAUUAUCAAGUGGCUCCUCCUGAGUACCACUGUAAAGCUGUGUGA